rnacentral:rRNA from 1 species
GAUGAACGCUGGCGGCGUGCUUAACACAUGCCAGUCGAACGAGCAGUGAAGACGGCAACCUUCGGGCGGAAGGCUUUAUUUCGACUGGCGGACGGGUGAGUAACGCGUGGGUAACCUGCCUCAUCCAGGGGGAUAACAGUUGGAAACGACUGUUAAUACCGCAUAAGAUCACAGCACCGCAUGGUGCGGGGGUAAAAACUCCGGUGGUAUGAGACGGACCCGCGUUCGAUUCGCCAGUUGGCGGGGUAACGGCCCACCAAAGCGACGAUCGAUGGCCGAUCAGAGAGGAUGACCGGCCACAUUGAGACUGAGACACAGCCCAAACUCGUACGGGAAGCAGCAGUGGGGAAUAAUGCACAAUGGGGGAAACCCUGAUGCAGCGACGCCACGUGAGUGAAGAAGUAUUUCGGUAUGUAAAGCGCGAGCAGCAGGGAAGAAAAUGACGGUACCUGAGGAAGAGACCACGGCUAACUACGGG